rnacentral:rRNA from 1 species
ACCCUCGGGUGACAGGGAGACAGGUGGUGCAUGUGUCGUCAGCUCGUGUCGUGAGAUGUUGGGUUAAGUCCCGCAACGAGCGCAACCCCUACGUUUAGUUGCUAACAGGUGAAGCUGAGCACUCUAGACGAACUGCCGUUGACAAAACGGAGGAAGGUGGGGAUGACGUCAAAUCAUCAUGCCCCUUAUGUUCUGGGCUACACACGUGCUACAAUGGCCGGUACAGACGGAGGCGAAGCCGCGAGGCGGAGCAAAUCCGAAAAAGCCGGUCUCAGUUCGGAUUGCAGGCUGCAAUUCGCCUGCAUGAAGUCGGAAUCGCUAGUAAUCGCAGGUCAGCAUACUGCGGUGAAUACGUUCCCGGGCCUU